rnacentral:rRNA from 1 species
GAUGAACGCUAGCUACAGGCUUAACACAUGCAAGUCGAGGGGAAACGACAUCGAAAGCUUGCUUUUGAUGGGCGUCGACCGGCGCACGGGUGAGUAACGCGUAUCCAACCUGCCCAUCACUUGGGAAUAACCUUGCGAAAGUAAGACUAAUACCCAAUGAUAUCCCACGAAGGCAUCGGAAUGGGAUUAAAGAUUUAUCGGUGAUGGAUGGGGAUGCGUCUGAUUAGCUUGUUGGCGGGGUAACGGCCCACCAAGGCAACGAUCAGUAGGGGUUCUGAGAGGAAGGUCCCCCACAUUGGAGCUGAGACACGGUCCAAACUCCUACGGGAGGCAGCAGUGAGGAAUAUUGGGCAAUGGGCGAGAGCCUGAACCAGCCAAGUAGCGUGCAGGAAGACGGCCCUAUGGGUUGUAAACUGCUUUUAUAAGGGAAUAAAGUGAGUCACGUGUGACUUUUUGCAUGUACCUUAUGAAUAAGGACCGGCUAAUUCCGUG